AUAUUUCUCCUACCUGGUUUAUAUUUCUAACCAUUACAGUUGGAAUAUACCAAGUGGAAAAUAGUCUAUUUCAGAGCAAAAGCACCUAUGGAAAAAAUUACAAAGAUGCUUCUCACCCUUAUGAUCAUUCUUCCCCACACCAGUCGCACCAGUCUCUGCAGCCAAGGUUUGUAUUAUCAUAUAUGUAUUUACAGUAUCAAAGCGUAUAUAUAUGUUACACACACACACACAACUGUGCAUCAUGACUUGCUAAUAAAAAUAAGUUGAAAUUUAGCUGAUCAGUGAAUGUUAACAUGUGAGACAAGGAUAGCCACUAUAUUCCAAACUUUUUUUUGCUGAAUCACAUGGAUACGAAACAAUCUGAAUUCUUAGGAUGUAAAUGUUUAUUUCUCUAUCACUAUUUACACAGCUUUUUCUUUUCACACAAGAGAUGAUAUAGUACAUGUGACUAACAGGCGAUGCAGUGUUUGACGGCGGCAUCACAGGACAAAGCGCAUUAGAGUCAACAAAAACAUUCUGGCCACUGGACACACAAGUACGGAAAGUAUGUGCAGCAUGCCACUGUUGCCCUGGGAACAGUUCCAAAAGCUGCUACAUGGCGCCUUCAUGUUGCAUAGAGCUAAGGUGCAAUGGACCCCAUGAGCCAGAAGGCAAUUGUCUAAUAAUUAAACACUCUUGUACUUGUACCAAUUGCAGUUAAUCGCUGGUACCUUUGGUCAUGAUAAUAAUGAAUGCCAACAAAGCACAUUCAAUUUCAAGAUAAUAAAUUUACUAAAAUUGACAUGUCUAUCAGAUUGUGCAAAUUCAUAUUGUCUAGCAGGCCGCCAUGUUGGUACUCGUGAUCGAAGUACACCAUCUGCAUCGUGUAACCUGUUUAUGCGACUGGAUGCCAAUCUUCUC
rnacentral:lncRNA from 1 species